CAACUAUCCCACUAAACACUCAUCAUUCCACUAAACACUCAUUAUUCCACACACUCAUCAUUCCACUAAACACUCUUUACACCUUCUUUUGCCAGCCAUCUUCUACACUUUAACAUCUCAACAUGCAAUUAGCUUUUAUUUAAUCAAAAUCAGCAACCAACAUUCCUCCCAUUCCUCCUAAUAUUCUGAUCCAAGCUAUACGUUCUUAUGCUUGAAUUAUAAUUCACUGAUUCCAGCUUUCCAAAUCAGUUUCCAAGAUUUCCCAAAACAAGAAAGAGAUCCAAUUUUGGUGAAUUCAGAAAGAAGAUUUUCCUCAUUUCCUACUCAUAUCAAGGUUACCUCCUACUUUACUUUCUCCAUACAUUCAUUUGUUAAAUUACAAAACUAUGAUUCAAAUGAAAACAGAUCGAACACACGCAUCCAUUACCACUUCUUUUAGACUAUUAUUGUUUCAAUUACAUCAGCUUAUUACCAUCAGAGAACCACCAACAGAAUAAUACACACGCACACAUUUUACUAUAUUCUCUAAUCUAUUACAUGUACAAUCAGUUUUAAUAAAAAGGAAAUGAAUGAUUGAAAGAACAGAUUUUUAAAACCCUAACUUGUUCUAUAUUUUGAAUCUGGACUGAAAAAUUUGGAGAGUUCCUUGUGUUUUGCUUGCGUGUGUGUUGUUCGAAUCGUGAGAGGGGAAGGAGGGAGCAGCAGACGGCUGUUCGGCGCCGGCAACGGCGGCGCGGCGGCAACUGUCGUCCAGUCCCUGUUCUGCCAAAACGAGAGAGAAGGGAAAGGGGGAGAGAUUAGAUUAUAACAAAAAAGAAGAGAAGGGAGAACAGGGGAGGGAGAGAGAGAGAUAGGAGGGAGAACUUAUCUUCUCCGGUGACGACGAUGCGGCGGCAUCGGCAGCGGCGACACGGCAGCGGGAGCACCGAGCUGUUCCUGGUCGGCCGGAAAAGAGAAAAAGAGGGGGAGCUCAGAUCUGGAGCCUACCUUCCCGGCGAGGCAAGGCUCGGCCUCCACCGCGAUUCCAGCAAGACGAACGACGGGAGCGGCGACGCUCGGCUCUUCCCCGUGAGUCCGGCGGUGGUUGUGGGCGGCGAAGAUGGAUGCGACGGUGGGGGUAGCCUCUGCUGCCCUAUUCCGAGCAAGGAGCCGUGGCUCUGUUUUUCCGGCGAGAUAGAGAGAGAAGAGGAGAGACCGAGAGUAUGAGAGGGGGAGGGGAGAUGCACGGCGAGGCGGCGCGCCGGAGGCGGCGCCGCACUCGACCGAGCAGAGAGAGAGAGUCGGGAGAGCCGAGAGGGAGAGUGAGAGUGGCUGUGUGUGUGCGUGUGUUAUGUGUUUGUGUG